GCGUCAGUAGUGUAGCGGGUAGAGCACGCGCUCCCGCAUAGAGUGACGUGCGGGUUUCAGUCCCGCCUGACGCG